rnacentral:lncRNA from 1 species
CCCAGGGGGCCAGUCCUGCACCUGGGCAGCGCCCCCACUGUUCACUGAGGACUUGGGCUCACUUUCUACACUUCCGUUAACAGCAAGAAUAAAUCAGUCAGAAGGCCAGCAUACCUUAGUUAUAUAUUUUGUCUAAAAUAAACUAAAAUUUUGUUUUAGGCUGAAAGCGAAUGUGACAGGUAGAGCCGUUACUCCCGGGUCAUGAAUGUGGCCGUCUGCGCUUUUCCGUGUUAACUCCACAGGAAGAAAUCAGACCUUGCAGCACGGAGGCGGCGGGGACCCGAAGGCCGAGGGCGCGCAGCCGCCAAGCGCAGAGCCGCAGACCAGAGCCUCAGCGCGCGCGUCGGGGAACGCCGCAAACAAACGCAUGGCGGGAAGGGGCGCGGUAGUGCCAUCGUCUCCCCCUGGAGAGAGGGAAGGAGACACGAGGGCGAGUCCCUAGCUGGAGUGGGAAGACCGGAGAGAAGCGGAAAGACGCUCCCGGGGAGCGCGCAGAAGGAAUUCCAGAAGCAAAAACAAAAAAAGUUCGGGUACAGCGGCUCACACCUGUAAUCCCAGCUCUUAGGGAGAUGGAAACUGGAGGAUCACUUGAGGCCAGGAGUUCAAGACCAGCCUGGGCAACAUAGCAAGACCCAGUCUCUUAAAAGAAAAUUAAAAAGAAAGAGUAAAUAAAGUUCCAGAAGCUUUGCUCUCCUUAUCCAAGCAGCGUUUGUACUUUGGCACUGGAAAGUGCGGGAGUCAGGGGUUUGUGAGA